rnacentral:sRNA from 1 species
GCCGGGCAUGGUGACCCACGCCUGUCAUCCCAGCGUCUCGGGAGGCUGAGGCAGGAGGAUCGUGAGUUCAAAUCCAGCCUCAG